AGUUGUUGCAGUUAAAAAGCUCGUAGUCGAAGCUUGGGCCUGGCUGGCCGGUCCGCCUCACCGCGUGCACUGGUCCGGCCGGGCCUUUCCUCCCGGGGAGCCGCAUGCCCUUCGCUGGGCGUGCCGGGGAACCGGGACUUUUACUUUGAAAAAAUUAGAGUGUUCAAAGCAGGCCUUUGCUCGGAUACAUUAGCAUGGAAUAAUGGAAUAGGACGUCGCGGCCCUAUUUUGUUGGUUUUCAGGGCCGCCGUAAUGAUUGACAGGGACGGUCGGGGGCGUCAGUAUUCGAUUGUCAGAGGUGAAAUUCUUGGAUUUAUCGAAGACUAGCUGCUGCGAAAGCGUUCGCCAAGGACGUUUUCAUUGAUCAGUGAACGAAAGCUGGGGGAUCGAAGACGAUCAGAUACCGUCGUAGUCUCAGCCGUAAACUAUGCCGACUAGGGAUCGGGCGGUGUUACUUGUUGACCCGCUCGGCACCUUACGAGAAAUCAAAGUUUUUGGGUUCUGGGGGGAGUAUGGUCGCAAGGCUGAAACUUAAAGAAAUUGACGGAAGGGCACCACCAGGCGUGAAAAAUCGCGGACUCUGCGCCUGAAAGCAGCCGGAAACGGUGGGUGGUGCCCCUGUAAAAUGCUAGUUCGUCCCCGUCGUUGGGGGCGGGCGACACGCCCAAAGUGCGGGGACGCCCUGAGAGCUCCAGCUACCAAACCGCGCGCCGAAAGGCCGCGGUGGCCGGGUUAACGCCCCCGGGCACGGUAAAAAUGCUGCGAGAUUGGGUAACCUGCAGCCAAAACCCUAAGUUUCCUGCCGGCGCGGCGGGGGAUAUGGGGGAGGUUCAGAGGCCAGACGGGCGUGGGUGGGCCUCGAAAGCCCGCCUAAGGUAUGGUCCGGAAGCUGGCGAGAGCCGGCGGCAAGGCGGGAGCCUGCGGCUUAAUUUGACUCAACACGGGGAAACUUACCAGGUCCAGACGCAAGAAGGAUUGACAGAUUGAGAGCUCUUUCUUGAUUUUGCGGAAGGUGGUGCAUGGCCGUUCUUAGUUGGUGGAGUGAGUCCCCCUAAAAUUUUUCGAAACCCUCCGAAAUUCGACACCCCGCUAACAUGCACAGGUGAUUUGUCUGCUUAAUUGCGAUAACGAACGAGACCUUAACCUGCUAAAUAGCCAGGCUGGCUCCGGCCGGUCGCGGGCUUCUUAGAGGGACUAUCGGCUCAAGCCGAUGGAAGUUUGAGGCAAUAACAGGU
rnacentral:rRNA from 1 species